rnacentral:rRNA from 1 species
GUGGGGAAUCUUAGACAAUGGGCGCAAGCCUGAUCUAGCCAUGCCGCGUGAGCGAUGAAGGCCUUAGGGUUGUAAAGCUCUUUCAGGGGGGAAGAUAAUGACGGUACCCCCAGAAGAAGCCCCGGCUAACUCCGUGCCAGCAGCCGCGGUAAUACGGAGGGGGCUAGCGUUGUUCGGAAUUACUGGGCGUAAAGCGCACGUAGGCGGACCAGAAAGUCAGGGGUGAAAUCACGGGGCUCAACCCCGGAACUGCCUUUGAAACUCCUGGUCUUGAGGUCGAGAGAGGUGAGUGGAAUUCCGAGUGUAGAGGUGAAAUUCGUAGAUAUUCGGAGGAACACCAGUGGCGAAGGCGGCUCACUGGCUCGAUACUGACGCUGAGGUGCGAAAGCGUGGGGAGCAAACAGGAUUAGAAACCCCUGUAGUCC